rnacentral:rRNA from 1 species
AUUGAACGCUGGCGGCAUGCUUUACACAUGCAAGUCGAACGGUAACAGGCCUUCUGGUGCUGACGAGUGGCGAACGGGUGAGUAAUGCAUCGGAACGUACCCAGAGGUGGGGGAUAACGCAGCUAAAGCUGUGCUAAUACCGCAUGUGAUCUGAGGAUGAAAGCGGGGGACCGAGCAGCAAUGUUUGGCCUCGCGCCUUUGGAGCGGCCGAUGUCGGAUUAGCUAGUUGGGGGGGUAAAGGCCUACCAAGGCGACGAUCCGUAGCUGGUCUGUGAGGACGACCAGCCACACUGGGACUGAGCCACGGCCCAGACUCCUACGGGAGGCAGCAGUGGGGAAUUUUGGACAAUGGGCGCAAGCCUGAUCCAGCAAUGCCGCGUGCGGGAAGAAGGCCUUCGGGUUGUAAACCGCUUUUGGCAGGAACGAAACGGUGUCCGCUAAUACCGGGCGCUAAUGACGGUACCUGCAGAAUAAGCACCGGCUAACUACGUG